UCUCAGGCUCUGACCCUCUAGAGGGAAGCGCUUUCUGUCAUCUGAGAGAGAAGAAAGUGCAUCCUUUUAGAGGAUCACGGUUUGAGA
ensembl:miRNA MIR519B microRNA 519b